rnacentral:rRNA from 1 species
UACGUAGGGUGCGAGCGUUGUCCGGAAUUAUUGGGCGUAAAGAGCUCGUAGGCGGUUUGUCACGUCGGAUGUGAAACCCCGGGGCUUAACUCCGGGCCUGCAUUCGAUACGGGCUGACUAGAGUUCGGCAGGGGAGACUGGAAUUCCUGGUGUAGCGGUGAAAUGCGCAGAUAUCAGGAAGAACACCCGUGGCGAAGGCGGCUCUCUGGGACGGUACUGACGCUGAGACGCGAAAGCGUGGGGAGCAAACAGG